rnacentral:rRNA from 1 species
AGAGUUUGAUCCUGGCUCAGGAUGAACGCUGGCGGCGUGCCUAAUACAUGCAAGUCGAGCGAACGGACGAGAAGCUUGCUUCUCUGAUGUUAGCGGCGGACGGGUGAGUAACACGUGGAUAACCUACCUAUAAGACUGGGAUAACUUCGGGAAACCGGAGCUAAUACCGGAUAAUAUUUUGAACCGCAUGGUUCAAAAGUGAAAGACGGUCUUGCUGUCACUUAUAGAUGGAUCCGCGCUGCAUUAGCUAGUUGGUAAGGUAACGGCUUACCAAGGCAACGAUGCAUAGCCGACCUGAGAGGGUGAUCGGCCACACUGGAACUGAGACACGGUCCAGACUCCUACGGGAGGCAGCAGUAGGGAAUCUUCCGCAAUGGGCGAAAGCCUGACGGAGCAACGCCGCGUGAGUGAUGAAGGUCUUCGGAUCGUAAAACUCUGUUAUUAGGGAAGAACAUAUGUGUAAGUAACUGUGCACAUCUUGACGGUACCUAAUCAGAAAGCCACGGCUAACUACGUGCCAGCAGCCGCGGUAAUACGUAGGUGGCAAGCGUUAUCCGGAAUUAUUGGGCGUAAAGCGCGCGUAGGCGGUUUUUUAAGUCUGAUGUGAAAGCCCACGGCUCAACCGUGGAGGGUCAUUGGAAACUGGAAAACUUGAGUGCAGAAGAGGAAAGUGGAAUUCCAUGUGUAGCGGUGAAAUGCGCAGAGAUAUGGAGGAACACCAGUGGCGAAGGCGACUUUCUGGUCUGUAACUGACGCUGAUGUGCGAAAGCGUGGGGAUCAAACAGGAUUAGAUACCCUGGUAGUCCACGCCGUAAACGAUGAGUGCUAAGUGUUAGGGGGNGGGGGUUUCCGCCCCUUAGUGCUGCAGCUAACGCAUUAAGCACUCCGCCUGGGGAGUACGACCGCAAGGUUGAAACUCAAAGGAAUUGACGGGGACCCGCACAAGCGGUGGAGCAUGUGGUUUAAUUCGAAGCAACGCGAAGAACCUUACCAAAUCUUGACAUCCUUUGACAACUCUAGAGAUAGAGCCUUCCCCUUCGGGGGACAAAGUGACAGGUGGUGCAUGGUUGUCGUCAGCUCGUGUCGUGAGAUGUUGGGUUAAGUCCCGCAACGAGCGCAACCCUUAAGCUUAGUUGCCAUCAUUAAGUUGGGCACUCUAAGUUGACUGCCGGUGACAAACCGGAGGAAGGUGGGGAUGACGUCAAAUCAUCAUGCCCCUUAUGAUUUGGGCUACACACGUGCUACAAUGGACAAUACAAAGGGCAGCGAAACCGCGAGGUCAAGCAAAUCCCAUAAAGUUGUUCUCAGUUCGGAUUGUAGUCUGCAACUCGACUACAUGAAGCUGGAAUCGCUAGUAAUCGUAGAUCAGCAUGCUACGGUGAAUACGUUCCCGGGUCUUGUACACACCGCCCGUCACACCACGAGAGUUUGUAACACCCGAAGCCGGUGGAGUAACCUUUUAGGAGCUAGCCGUCGAAGGUGGGACAAAUGAUUGGGGUGAAGUCGUAACAAGGUAGCCGUAUCGGAAGGUGCGGCUGGAUCACCU